AUCAUCGCUAAUUGAAAAGAAAUGCUAGCUUCUUAUUUAAUAAUUUUCUUAUUAGCAACCUUAUCUAUCUCCAAAGGGACGGCGGAUCCAUGGAUCAGAGAUCCGCAUUAUGAUCAAAACGAAUAUAUCGCAAGCCAUGGAUUUGAAACUUUUUGUGCGAAUAUAUGUCCAAAUGCGCGAUAUCCACGUUGCAUGGAAUGCUCUCCUAAUUCAACCUCCCUCCUUUCUCCUAUAUGAUUUUAAAAAUUUGCUUACUUUUUAUUUUUAUAACAUGUGUUAGCAAUAUCAAUUUAUUGGGCUAUAUAGUUUUUUUAA